GGGCUUGGAUGUGAGCUGACACACUGCUGCAUGAUUCCCAUGAUCCCAGCAUGGAAGUGUGCAAGAACUGCACUGACAGCGAUGAGCGGGUGAGGUGAACUUGAGCUCCUUUCCCAUCAUGAGAGAAGGGAAAAAUGAUCUUGUGCUCAGAUCUGGGGUUAAAAUGAAUUCACGACUGUCUCAGGAAACUGAAAACAGCCUUGCCUGGAGUGGUGAGCGACGUGCCUUGCUCUGCACAGGAUUUAGUGCUUCUCUUAGCACCAGUGAAAUCUGGCUGCAUGCACCUCGGGCAGAGCCAAGGCACAGUACUUGGCACCCGUGUUUGUCAGUGCUGUUACCCUGAGUCCUGCCUGGGGCUGGGCUGUAGAAAACAGAUGAUCCAUCAUCUCCUGCUUGUUUGUCCAGCUCUGCUGACUGCAGUGAAAUGCUUUUGUUUUGCCAGGGAAGCCGGAGUGUUUCAUGCACAGGCCAAUCCCACGACCCCUGAGGAUGUCGGCACUGAUGGGAAUGCAUUGCAGCCCUCCCCAGCUGCAGUCCCCACAGGAGCACUCCCUGUGCACCUCAGAGGGUACAGGUGUGACCAUGCCCAUGAGAACUGGACCAGCACAUGGAUCCAUAGGCUGUGAGUUGCCAUUGGGGACUGGAAGUACCACAACACAGAGAGAACAGAGCCAACGCUGUAAAUCCCAUCCUGGUGGUCUGUUGUCACACCUUGCCCCUGGGAUGAGGGUCUGUGAGAGGAUGCUGGAGUCCUGAUCCUCGCACAGCAGUAACUGCACUGCAGGGCGUGCUGAGCCCUGGGAACUUGGGCUGGAAGGGCUCUUUGGGACUCUGUGCAGAGACACUUGCAAGGUAAGGGCGCUUUGCAGAGGGCUCUGGAAGCAGUGGGUGGGUGUGCACUGACCUCAGGCACAGUAAGGCAGAAAGUUGGAGUUUCUAACAGGCAGUAUAGAGAAGCAGCUGUACGCGUUGGAGUCGGUCACAGCACCACUUAUUUGUCUGCAUCUCAGUGCUGAGGGUUAAUGGGGAUGAGGAUGUGUCAGCCCUAUGCCAGGUACCAGAUUUCAGCCUACAGCAGCACCAGCUUUGGCAGCUUUACCACAGAUUUUGUUACAGUUGUUUUUGAAAGCUCUGGUUCUCCAAAUCCUGUAAUUAUGUGCAAGUUUCAGCGUUCUUUAAAAUUGAAGGUAAAUUGUCAACUCUUUGAUUGUAUAGAAUAGCCUGAAAACAACCAAGAAGUUUUGAAAGAAAAAGAGGCAAGUUGAGGAAACCUGAAAUUACUUGUCUUUGAAUUCUAAAGAUUUGUAAGGCAAACUCAUGAUUUUGUGGCCCAGAACAGGCCUGGUAAAUGCUUGGUAUUGGCAAUACUGUGUUUAUUUUCCAUGCUUGGAUUUCUGCAUGGCUUUACACACUUUAUGAAAAAUACAGUAUUUUAUUUUAUUUUUAAAAGGAAGCAGAUAGCUCUGCUGGAUGAUCUCCAAACCAGACUGUAACAUACAAUAAAAAUUCUAUAGUGCACUGUAACA
rnacentral:lncRNA from 1 species